AGGACGAACGCUGGCGGCGUGCUUAACACAUGCAAGUCGAGCGGAAAGGCCCUUCGGGGUACUCGAGCGGCGAACGGGUGAGUAACACGUGAGUAAUCUGCCCCUAGCUCUGGGAUAGCUCCGGGAAACCGGGAUUAAUACCAGAUACGACCACUUUAGACAUCUGUUGUGGUGGAAAGAAUUUUGGCUAGGGAUGAGCUCGCGGCCUAUCAGCUUGUUGGUGAGGUAACGGCUCACCAAGGCGACGACGGGUAGCCGGCCUGAGAGGGCGACCGGCCACACUGGGACUGAGACACGGCCCAGACUCCUACGGGAGGCAGCAGUGGGGAAUAUUGCGCAAUGGGCGAAAGCCUGACGCAGCGACGCCGCGUGGGGGAUGAAGGCCUUCGGGUUGUAAACCCCUUUCAGCAGGGACGAAGCGAAAGUGACGGUACCUGCAGAAGAAGCGCCGGACUAACUACGCGCCAGCAGCCGC
rnacentral:rRNA from 1 species